rnacentral:rRNA from 1 species
GACGAACGCUGGAGGCGUGCUUAACACAUGCAAGUCGAACGAUGAAAUGGAGCUUGCUCCAUGGAUUAGUGGCGAAUGGGUGAGUAACACGUGAAUAACCUGCCCUUAAUUUUGGAAUAACCCAGGGAAACCUGGGCUAAUACCGGAUAAAUAAACCUGUGGCAUCACAUGGUUGUGGAAAGUUUUUCGAUUAAGGAUGGAUUCGCGGCCUAUCAGCUUGUUGAUGAGGUAAUGGCUCACCAAGGCGACGACGGGUAGCCGGCCGGAGAGGGGGAACGGCCACACGGGGACUGAGACACGGCCCAGACUCCUACGGGAGGCAGCAGUGGGGAAUAUUGCGCAAUGGACGAAAGUCUGACGCAGCGACGCCUCGUGAGGGACGAAGGUCUUCGGAUUGUAAACCUCUUUCAGCAGGGACGAAGCGAAAGUGACGGUACCUGCAGAAGAAGCACCGGCUAACUAUGUGCCAGCCGCCGCCGUAA